UACGUAGGGUGCAAGCGUUGUCCGGAAUUAUUGGGCGUAAAGAGCUCGUAGGUGGCCUGUCGCGUCGGCUGUGAAAACUCGGGGCUCAACUCCGAGCUUGCAGUCGAUACGGGCAGGCUAGAGUUCGGCAGGGGAGACUGGAAUUCCUGGUGUAGCGGUGAAAUGCGUAGAUAUCUGGAGGAAUACCGGUGGCGAAGGCGGCAUCCUGGACCGAGAUUGACGCUGAGGAGCGAAAGCUAGGGGAGCAAACGGG
rnacentral:rRNA from 1 species